CAGCAUACUCUAGAGACAUAGUGAGUGACAACACCACAGGGAAUUGGCCUCUCAGUUCUGAGACUGUCUCCAGCCAGUCUGCCAAUAAGUCUUCUCAUAAGCACCCCCUCAGCUGGAUCUAAAGCCUUCCCGGCAUUGUGAGUCAGCCCGAGAGGGACAGGAAAACUGCUGUAUGGGCCCUGAGGCUUCAGACAGCCUUUUUAUGAAAGAACCCAGAUGACUCGGAGGAGUGAGAGAAGAGAGAAGGGGAAGGAGAGCUAAGGUGUAUUCAGUCCCCGGGUCUCUGGGGCCAGCCUCUCUGACUGUGCUCCCUGUCCUAGCAGGCUAGCAGGCUGCCAGUGUGACC
rnacentral:lncRNA from 1 species